UUUUCUCUCUCUAAAACUAUAGAAAGAGAGAGUGAGCGUGUGGGGUGGGUCGAUGAUGAAUGGUUGUUGAAUUAUUGAUUUCUCGCCCUCUUUCUUUGACUUCCGAUUCAUUUCUGUUUCCAUCACACUUUCCUUUUCAUUUCUGUUUCCAUCACACUUUCCUUUUCAUUUCUAUCCUCGCCUCUGCGUGUGUGUGUUUCUGAGUUUUUUCUCUUCAUCUUCUUCAUGCUCUUCCAUCCAAGUGUAAUUAAACAUUCAAACGCUUUAUCUA
rnacentral:lncRNA from 1 species